CCUACGGGUGGCAGCAAUGAGGAAUAUUGGUCAAUGGGCUUACGCCUGAACCAGCCAAGUCGCGUGAGGGAAGACUGCCCUAUGGGUUGUAAACCUCUUUUGUCAGGGAGCAACGCCGGCUACGUGUAGCCGGACUGAGAGUACCUGAAGAAAAAGCAUCGGCUAACUCCGUGCCAGCAGCCGCGGUAAUACGGAGGAUGCGCGCGUUAUCCGGAUUUAUUGGGUUUAAAGGGUGCGUAGGCGGAAUGCCAAGUCAGCGGUAAAAUCGCGGGGCUCAACCUCGCUCCGCCGGUGAAACUGGCGUGCUUGAGUGGGCGAGAAGUAUGCGGAAUGCGGGGUGUAGCGGUGAAAUGCAUAGAUAUCACGCAGAACUCCGAUUGCGAAGGCAGCAUACCGGCGCCCAACUGACGCUGAAGCACGAAAGCGUGGGUAUCGAACAGGAUUAGAUACCCUAGUAGUC
rnacentral:rRNA from 1 species